rnacentral:misc_RNA from 1 species
GAUGAAGAACGUAGCGAAAUGCGAUACUUGGUGUGAAUUGCAGAAUCCCGUGAACCAUCGAGUCUUUGAACGCAAGUUGCGCCCGAAGCCAUCAGGUUGAGGGCACGUCUGCCUGGGCGUCACAUAUCGUUGCCCAAUGCCUAUUGCAGUGCAAUAGGAAUUUCUAGGGCGAAUGAUGGCUUCCCGUGAGCGUUGUUGCCUCGCGGUUGGUUGAAAAUCGAGUCCUUGGUAGGGUGUGCCAUGGUAGAUGGUGGUCGAGUUAGAACGAUACCGAUCAUGUGCAUGCUCCCCAAAAUAUGGCCUCUAUGACCCACACGCGUCUUUUGACGCUCAUGACGAGACCUCAGGUCAGGCGGGGCUACCCGCUGAAUUUAAGCAUAUCAAUAAGCGGGGA